GGUUAAGCGACUAAGCGUACACGGUGGAUGCCCUGGCAGUCAGAGGCGAUGAAGGACGUGCUAAUCUGCGAAAAGCGUCGGUAAGGUGAUAUGAACCGUUAUAACCGGCGAUGUCCGAAUGGGGAAACCCAGUGUGAUUCGUCACACUAUCGUUAACUGAAUACAUAGGUUAACGAGGCGAACCGGUGGAACUGAAACAUCUAAGUACCCCGAGGAAAAGAAAUCAACCGAGAUUCCCCCAGUAGCGGCGAGCGAACGGGGAGCAGCCCAGAGUCUGAAUCAGCUUGUGUGUUAGUGGAACGGUCUGGAAAGUCCGACGGUACAGGGUGAUAGUCCCGUACACCAAAAUGCACAGGCUGUGAACUCGAAGAGUAGGGCGGGACACGUGGUAUCCUGUCUGAAUAUGGGGGGACCAUCCUCCAAGGCUAAAUACUCCUGACUGACCGAUAGUGAACCAGUACCGUGAGGGAAAGGCGAAAAGAACCCCGGCGAGGGGAGUGAAAAAGAACCUGAAACCGUGUACGUACAAGCAGUGGGAGCACCUUCGGGUGUGACUGCGUACCUUUUGUAUAAUGGGUCAGCGACUUAUAUUCUGUAGCAAGGUUAACCGUAUAGGGGAGCCGCAGGGAAACCGAGUCUUAACUGGGCGUUAAGUUGCAGGGUAUAGACCCGAAACCCGGUGAUCUAGCCAUGGGCAGGUUGAAGGUUGGGUAACACUAACUGGAGGACCGAACCGACUAAUGUUGAAAAAUUAGCGGAUGACUUGUGGCUGGGGGUGAAAGGCCAAUCAAACCGGGAGAUAGCUGGUUCUCCCCGAAAGCUAUUUAGGUAGCGCCUCGUGAACUCAUCUUCGGGGGUAGAGCACUGUUUCGGCUAGGGGGUCAUCCCGACUUACCAACCCGAUGCAAACUACGAAUACCGAAGAAUGUUAUCACGGGAGACACACGGCGGGUGCUAACGUCCGUCGUGAAGAGGGAAACAACCCAGACCGCCAGCUAAGGUCCCAAAGUCAUGGUUAAGUGGGAAACGAUGUGGGAAGGCACAGACAGCCAGGAUGUUGGCUUAGAAGCAGCCAUCAUUUAAAGAAAGCGUAAUAGCUCACUGGUCGAGUCGGCCUGCGCGGAAGAUGUAACGGGGCUAAACCAUGCACCGAAGCUGCGGCAGCGACACUAUGUGUUGUUGGGUAGGGGAGCGUUCUGUAAGCCUGCGAAGGUGACCUGUGAGGGUUGCUGGAGGUAUCAGAAGUGCGAAUGCUGACAUAAGUAACGAUAAAGCGGGUGAAAAGCCCGCUCGCCGGAAGACCAAGGGUUCCUGUCCAACGUUAAUCGGGGCAGGGUGAGUCGACCCCUAAGGCGAGGCCGAAAGGCGUAGUCGAUGGGAAACAGGUUAAUAUUCCUGUACUUGGUGUUACUGCGAAGGGGGGACGGAGAAGGCUAUGUUAGCCGGGCGACGGUUGUCCCGGUUUAAGCAUGUAGGCUGGUUAUCCAGGCAAAUCCGGAUAAUCAAGGCUGAGGUGUGAUGACGAGGCACUACGGUGCUGAAGUAACAAAUGCCCUGCUUCCAGGAAAAGCCUCUAAGCAUCAGGUAACAUCAAAUCGUACCCCAAACCGACACAGGUGGUCAGGUAGAGAAUACCAAGGCGCUUGAGAGAACUCGGGUGAAGGAACUAGGCAAAAUGGUGCCGUAACUUCGGGAGAAGGCACGCUGGUGUGUAGGUGAAGCCCCUGCGGGUGGAGCUGAGACCAGUCGAAGAUACCAGCUGGCUGCAACUGUUUAUUAAAAACACAGCACUGUGCAAACACGAAAGUGGACGUAUACGGUGUGACGCCUGCCCGGUGCCGGAAGGUUAAUUGAUGGGGUUAUCCGUAAGGAGAAGCUCUUGAUCGAAGCCCCGGUAAACGGCGGCCGUAACUAUAACGGUCCUAAGGUAGCGAAAUUCCUUGUCGGGUAAGUUCCGACCUGCACGAAUGGCGUAAUGAUGGCCAGGCUGUCUCCACCCGAGACUCAGUGAAAUUGAACUCGCUGUGAAGAUGCAGUGUACCCGCGGCAAGACGGAAAGACCCCGUGAACCUUUACUAUAGCUUGACACUGAACAUUGAGCCUUGAUGUGUAGGAUAGGUGGGAGGCUUUGAAGCGUGGACGCCAGUCUGCGUGGAGCCAACCUUGAAAUACCACCCUUUAAUGUUUGAUGUUCUAACGUUGGCCCCUUACCGGGGUUGCGGACAGUGUCUGGUGGGUAGUUUGACUGGGGCGGUCUCCUCCCAAAGCGUAACGGAGGAGCACGAAGGUUAGCUAAUCCUGGUCGGACAUCAGGAGGUUAGUGCAAUGGCAUAAGCUAGCUUGACUGCGAGCGUGACGGCGCGAGCAGGUGCGAAAGCAGGUCAUAGUGAUCCGGUGGUUCUGAAUGGAAGGGCCAUCGCUCAACGGAUAAAAGGUACUCCGGGGAUAACAGGCUGAUACCGCCCAAGAGUUCAUAUCGACGGCGGUGUUUGGCACCUCGAUGUCGGCUCAUCACAUCCUGGGGCUGAAGUAGGUCCCAAGGGUAUGGCUGUUCGCCAUUUAAAGUGGUACGCGAGCUGGGUUUAGAACGUCGUGAGACAGUUCGGUCCCUAUCUGCCGUGGGCGCUGGAGAAUUGAGGGGGGCUGCUCCUAGUACGAGAGGACCGGAGUGGACGCAUCACUGGUGUUCGGGUUGUCAUGCCAAUGGCACUGCCCGGUAGCUAAAUGCGGAAGAGAUAAGUGCUGAAAGCAUCUAAGCACGAAACUUGCCCCGAGAUGAGUUCUCCCUGAGACUUUAAGUCUCCUGAAGGAACGUUGAAGACGACGACGUUGAUAGGCCGGGUGUGUAAGCGCAGCGAUGCGUUGAGCUAACCGGUACUAAUGAACCGUGAGGCUUAACCUU
rnacentral:rRNA from 1 species